AAGGGAGACCUAAUUCAGGUAUGGGACGAAAAAAAAGUAGUAGCUACCAAGAAUCAAUCCCAAAAGGUCGGAGCGAGGUAUGAGGCUUUCAAACUAGGUUCUGGGUUCAAACAAGACCUGAAUCAGGAACAAGGGCUAUUAGCUCAGGUGGUUAGAGCGCACCCCUGAUAAGGGUGAGGUCCCUGGUUCGAGUCCAGGAUGGCCCACCUGCACAGGUGGCAAAAAAAGAGAAGCGAGGAAUCAGCACCUUAUCUUAUCUAUAUAUAUAUAGGAGAGAAUGCUGGCUCUGAGUAAAGAGUCCAGAGGAACCUUGAAAACUGCAUAGAGCUAGGUGAAAAAGCCAAAAAAGAAGACCGCAAGGUCAAGCUAAUAAGGGCUAACGGUGGAUACCUAGGCAC
rnacentral:tRNA from 1 species